rnacentral:rRNA from 1 species
UACGUAGGUGGCGAGCGUUGUCCGGAUUUAUUGGGUUUAAAGGGUGCGUAGGCGGGAUGCCAAGUCAGCGGUAAAAAUGCGGUGCUCAACGCCGUCGAGCCGUUGAAACUGGCGUUCUUGAGUGGGCGAGAAGUAUGCGGAAUGCGUGGUGUAGCGGUGAAAUGCAUAGAUAUCACGCAGAACUCCGAUUGCGAAGGCAGCAUACCGGCGCCCUACUGACGCUGAGGCACGAAAGCGUGGGUAUCGAACAGG